AUUGAACGCUGGCGGCAGGCCUAACACAUGCAAGUCGAACGAGUGGCGGACGGGUGAGUAAUGUCUGGGAAACUGCCCGAUGGAGGGGGGUAACUACUGGAAACGGUAGCUAAUACCGCAUACCAUCGGAUGUGCCCAGAUGGGAUUAGCAAGAGGGUGGGGUAACGGCUCACCUGGGAGACGAUCCCUAGAUGGUCUGAGAGGAUGACCAGCAACACUGGAACUGAGACACGGUCCAGACUCCUACGGUAGGCAGCAGUGGGGAAUAUUGCACAAUGGGCGCAAGCCUGAUGCAGCCAUGCCGCGUGUAUGAAGAAGGCCUUCGGGUUGUAAAGGACUUUCAGCGAGGAGGCGUUACUCGCAGAAGAAGCACCGGCUAACUCCGUGCCAGCAGCCGCGGUAAUAC
rnacentral:rRNA from 1 species